rnacentral:misc_RNA from 1 species
GAUGAAGAACGUAGCGAAAUGCGAUAAGUAGUGUGAAUUGCAGACUUUAGUGAAUCAUCGAAUCUUUGAACGCACAUUGCGCCCCUUGGUAUUCCAUUGGGCAUGCCUGUUCGAGCGUCAUUUAAACCUUCAAGCUUUGCUUGGUGUUGGGGAUCGGCCGUUAAACGCCGCCCCCGAAAUCUAUUGGCGAUCUCGCUGUAGCUUCCUAUGCGUAGUAGUAACAUCUCGCAUCUGGAGAGCGGCGCGGUCAUGCCGUAAAACACCCAACUUCUCAGGUUGACCUCAGAUCAGGUAGGAAUACCCGCUGAACUUAAGCAUAUCAAUAAGCGGAGGA